AAAUUGAAGAGUUUGAUCAUGGCUCAGAUUGAACGCUGGCGGCAGGCCUAACACAUGCAAGUCGAACGGUAACAGGAAGCAGCUUGCUGCUUUGCUGACGAGUGGCGGACGGGUGAGUAAUGUCUGGGAAACUGCCUGAUGGAGGGGGAUAACUACUGGAAACGGUAGCUAAUACCGCAUAACGUCGCAAGACCAAAGAGGGGGACCUUCGGGCCUCUUGCCAUCGGAUGUGCCCAGAUGGGAUUAGCUUGUUGGUGGGGUAACGGCUCACCAAGGCGACGAUCCCUAGCUGGUCUGAGAGGAUGACCAGCCACACUGGAACUGAGACACGGUCCAGACUCCUACGGGAGGCAGCAGUGGGGAAUAUUGCACAAUGGGCGCAAGCCUGAUGCAGCCAUGCCGCGUGUAUGAAGAAGGCCUUCGGGUUGUAAAGUACUUUCAGCGGGGAGGAAGGGAGUAAAGUUAAUACCUUUGCUCAUUGACGUUACCCGCAGAAGAAGCACCGGCUAACUCCGUGCCAGCAGCCGCGGUAAUACGGAGGGUGCAAGCGUUAAUCGGAAUUACUGGGCGUAAAGCGCACGCAGGCGGUUUGUUAAGUCAGAUGUGAAAUCCCCGGGCUCAACCUGGGAACUGCAUCUGAUACUGGCAAGCUUGAGUCUCGUAGAGGGGGGUAGAAUUCCAGGUGUAGCGGUGAAAUGCGUAGAGAUCUGGAGGAAUACCGGUGGCGAAGGCGGCCCCCUGGACGAAGACUGACGCUCAGGUGCGAAAGCGUGGGGAGCAAACAGGAUUAGAUACCCUGGUAGUCCACGCCGUAAACGAUGUCGACUUGGAGGUUGUGCCCUUGAGGCGUGGCUUCCGGAGCUAACGCGUUAAGUCGACCGCCUGGGGAGUACGGCCGCAAGGUUAAAACUCAAAUGAAUUGACGGGGGCCCGCACAAGCGGUGGAGCAUGUGGUUUAAUUCGAUGCAACGCGAAGAACCUUACCUGGUCUUGACAUCCACAGAACCUUGUAGAGAUACGAGGGUGCCUUCGGGAACUGUGAGACAGGUGCUGCAUGGCUGUCGUCAGCUCGUGUUGUGAAAUGUUGGGUUAAGUCCCGCAACGAGCGCAACCCUUAUCCUUUGUUGCCAGCGGUCCGGCCGGGAACUCAAAGGAGACUGCCAGUGAUAAACUGGAGGAAGGUGGGGAUGACGUCAAGUCAUCAUGGCCCUUACGACCAGGGCUACACACGUGCUACAAUGGCGCAUACAAAGAGAAGCGACCUCGCGAGAGCAAGCGGACCUCAUAAAGUGCGUCGUAGUCCGGAUUGGAGUCUGCAACUCGACUCCAUGAAGUCGGAAUCGCUAGUAAUCGUGGAUCAGAAUGCCACGGUGAAUACGUUCCCGGGCCUUGUACACACCGCCCGUCACACCAUGGGAGUGGGUUGCAAAAGAAGUAGGUAGCUUAACCUUCGGGAGGGCGCUUACCACUUUGUGAUUCAUGACUGGGGUGAAGUCGUAACAAGGUAACCGUAGGGGAACCUGCGGUUGGAUCACCUCCUUA
rnacentral:rRNA from 1 species